GGAUGUAACUGGAACAUUCAGGACCUGAUCUUGAACAGUAUAAUUAUUUUUAAGAAAUUCACCUGUGACGUCCCUUUUGUGGCGUUUAUCCAGUCGUGUGAAAGACAGUUUAUGGUUCUGUUGUGCUAUUUUUGUGUGCUAUCAUAAGUUAUUAUUUGUGAUCGUUUUUAUUAUGUGGUUAGCAUGUCGAAAUGUACUAUUGUAUUGUUUAUUUGUGUAUUUCUCUGUCCUGAAUGUUCUUGCAUUUAUUUGUACCGUAUUCCUGUCAUGUAAUGGUGUCAUUAUAGUGUUUUAUUUAACAUUGCCAUACAAGUGCAACGUUUGGCUAGCCCCAAAAACCAGGUUCAACCUACUAUUUUUUCUUUAAAAAAUGUCCUGUUCCAAGUUAGGAAAAUAGCAGUUAUUAUCUUAUGGCCCAAGACCACAAUUAAUGACCCCGCUUUUCGUUGUCCAUGAAUAUAAUAUAGUUCCUGUUAAUUAGAAUGUAUUAUUUCUUAUUUUUUUCUUUCCCAUCCUCACUCAUUUCUUAGGUUUGUUUGGGUUGAUAUGAAAGGAGAGAGGAGGUGAAAUAAACUUUUGGAUGUUGUAUUUUAACUGAUUUCGAUAUGGGGAAUAGUGAUUAGGCCAGGUACAAAAAGGUGAUAUUUACAGUUUUCGGAAUAUCUCUUGACUUUUUUUUUGGACCAGAACUGUACUUAACACACACACACACACACACAUACACAAUUUGACAAAGAGAUUCGGUGCAUUUUUUUAAUGAAACAAAAUGUUAUAAAGAACUAAUAGAGAAUUUCAUUGUGGUGUGUGGCGUCGUUUCUGUGUGUGUUGCAUUGUCAUUUGUUUUUUGUUCACAUCAGUUUUUCUGUUUUUUUUUUUUGUUUUCCUCUUAUAAUUGAUGUGGAUCACUCGGUUUUAGGUUGCAACUCGGAUUUGUUUUCUCUCAAUCGAUUUAUGACUUCCGAACAGCGGUAAACUACUGUUGCCUUUUUAAGCUACACUAUGAAAUUCAUAUUCACAAACAGAUUCACUAGAUACCUUAUUAUAAAUGUGAUAUUAUGAUAUGAUACACAAAAUCGUCUGGCCUUUGAAGCCCAUGCGCUUUUAGAAUGGAUACCCUUUUCAUUUAUGUUUUGCUGAUUUUGAUAAAAUUUUCUAUAUUGUCACUUAAUAUGAAUGAUAAUAGUAUGAGUUUGUUCUUGAAAUGCAAUCUGAUGAAAACAGAACAUUAUACAUGCCGUUCAUCUUUUCUUAUUAACUUAUUUGAAAUAUCAGACUUUUAAAUAAACAAUAUUCAGAUUCGAAAUAAAAGGAGUCCACCCCAGCUCUUUCUGUACACUUUUCCCCUUUUAAUAUUAAAGAUUUAACGAAUUGGUUAUGUUCUGUCAGCAUUUUAAAAAUAGAUUUGAGUUUUAAUAUUUCUGUAGACGUACAUAGUCAUAGGCAAGAAACAAAACAGUGUGCUAAAAUGCAAUACAAUUGUUAUUGUCUUGUCUUAUAUGAGGUUUUAAAUGGAGAGGGUCAGUACUGGACAUUGUUUUUAUUAUUAUAUAUUAUAUUUUUUGUUUUUUGAUAACAUGGAUAUAAAUGUUUGAACGAGUAAACGAGUGCUAAAAAUACCAUGUAUUCAAUC
rnacentral:lncRNA from 1 species